rnacentral:rRNA from 1 species
AGCGAACGCUGGCGGCAGGCCUAACACAUGCAAGUUGAACGGACCCUUCGGGGUUAGUGGCGGACGGGUGAGUAACACGUGGGAACGUGCCCUUUGGUUCGGAAUAGCUCCUGGAAACGGGUGGUAAUGCCGAAUGUGCCCUUCGGGGGAAAGAUUUAUCGCCAUUGGAGCGGCCCGCGUCUGAUUAGCUAGUUGGUAGUGUAACGGACUACCAAGGCGACGAUCAGUAGCUGGUCUGAGAGGAUGAUCAGCCACAUUGGGACUGAGACACGGCCCAAACUCCUACGGGAGGCAGCAGCGGGGAAUCUUGCGCAAUGGGCGAAAGCCUGACGCAGCCAUGCCGCGUGAAUGAUGAAGGUCUUAGGAUUGUAAAAUUCUUUCACCGGGGACGAUAAUGACGGUACCCGGAGAAGAAGCCCCGGCUAACUUCGUGCCAGCAGCCGCGGUAAAAC